rnacentral:rRNA from 1 species
AUUGAACGCUGGCGGCAGGCUUAACACAUGCAAGUCGAGCGAGCGGCGGACGGGUGAGUAAUGUCUGGGAAACUGCCUGAUGGAGGGGGAUAACUACUGGAAACGGUAGCUAAUACCGCAUACCAUCAGAUGUGCCCAGAUGGGAUUAGCUAGUAGGUGGGGUAAUGGCUCACCUAGGCGACGAUCCCUAGCUGGUCUGAGAGGAUGACCAGCCACCGUGGAACGGGGACACGGUCCAGACUCCACCGGGAGGCAGCAGUGGGGAAUAUUGCACAAUGGGGGCAAUCCGGAUGCAGCCAUGCCGCGUGUGUGAAGAAGGCCUUCGGGUUUUAAAGCACUUUCAGCGAGGAGGCGUUACUCGCAGAAGAAGCACCGGCUAACUCCGUGCCAGCCGCCGCGGUAAUAC